UAUCUUGAGAAAGAGAGAGAUAGACACAUGAGAGUGAGAUCAUUAUUUCUAAUGCUCGUGAUGGAAGGAAAUGGUUCCAUGUGUAUAGUGAUGAAGUGGUUUUCCUUAAAAUCAAUUUUUAUUUUUUGGUUAUCAUUAAAA